rnacentral:lncRNA from 1 species
AUAUCACAAGAAAUAUCCACACUAAUUAACAACAAUAAACAAAAUAAAAAGAAGAAAAAAACUUGACUAGAGAAAACCUUUCUUCUUCUCACUCUUCACUCCUUGGUUCACAUCUCACAACCCUAAUUCUCUCUUCUUUUCCACUUUUUUUUUUUUUCUCUUUUCAUUAUGCCAAUUCAAGUAAACAGAACCUAGAACCUACGCUACUGCUGAUUGUAGUUACCUCAAUUGCUUCAAAUUGACUCGAAUACAUCUCUGAAUCUGUAAGUAUUCUCUUAUAAUUCUUUUUUGGUUUCUUUUCAUUGUAGUAAAUUAAAUUUAUUGGUUUGAUAUGCGAAUUGGGGUUUUCGGCUUUUAAGUAACAGGUGUAUGGUUUCAUGUGUAAUGAUAAAUUUCAUGAUUUGAGUUUGUGAUUUGUUUUUUUUUUUUCUAUUUGGGAUGCAAUUUCAUCUUCAAUGGUCUUUUCUGACCCUCUCUCUAAAAAAAUGUAUAUUUUAUCAGUUUAGAGAUUGUAAUUGUGUUAAUCCUCAAUGAGUUUGUCGGAAAUCUGUUAAUCCAAUGAAUUGGCUUUUAUAUUUCUAAACCAUGCCUCCUUGAUAUGAUGCAACUCCAUUUGUGCCUUUGACUCUGUCAUAUGCAACAUUACAUUGAAUAAUAAUUAAGUUAGGAUCCAAAAUAGUUGUCGCAACUUCUAGAAAACACAUUUUUCAUGCUAUUAUGAUUCUCACACAAACCAUAUUACGGAGCAUGAAAUUCACAAUUGUUACUUUGCCGUCUGUGUCCGACUUUUUAAAAUUAGAUUUUUUAUUUGAGCGAAAAUCUAAUCCCUUAAAGCAUUAUAUUAUCAGUUAAAUGUUACAUAUUGUGGUUGAAAUUACAGUUGAUUGUGUUCCAAGUUUCUUGUACCUGAACAUGCAAAUUUGUUAUCAAGGCAUGUAGGAAAUGUUGUUUUGUGCUAUUGAUCUUCUUGACAAGCAUAUUAAGCUUUUGUUUCUUCUUGUCCUUGCUUUUAGAUUUUUUUUGUUUUUUUUUGAUAAUAAAUAGUAAUUUUAUAAAUUCUCUAUCACCGUAAGUACAAACUGUUCAACAUGCAUUCUGUAAAUAUGCCCGCAGUAAACUACCCAAGAGGACAUCCCCUCUUUUUACAAUUAAAACUGAAUAUGAUAGGACCCACCCUCCUGCUGCACACCCUUAUGUAAAGUGCAGACACAACUAAGACCAUUGCUAGUAUACAAGUGGUGCUCCAUAUUGAAGAAAAGAAAAGAAAAAAUGCAGCAGCAGAGACCCCAAGCUGAAUCGAAGCUUCAAGAUUACUCACUUGUUAUAUACAUGUUUGAAAUUUUUAGAUGAAGACUUGUAUUUGAUUGAUUCUAAUAUUAUAAAUCUGCAAGAGAUAAAAUUGUACAUGUUAUUGAGAUGAAGUGCAACUGAGACCCUAUUUGCAUGGAGAAGCUUAAAUUUAAAUUAGAAAAUAAGCCUAACUGAUGCUUUUUGAUUUAUCUAUUGUUUAUCAAAAUUAAUGUGAGAUAUCCUUGUAUAAUUUUUUUUGUAUUUUUUUUUCCUUAUAGCACGCGAAAGAUUGUAAUGAGUCUUGUAUGAGUGAU